UACGUAGGGUGCAAGCGUUUGUCCGGAAUUAUUGGGCGUAAAGAGCUCGUAGGCGGUUUGUCGCGUCUGCUGUGAAAAUCCAGGGCUUAACCCUGGACCUGCAGUGGGUACGGGCAGACUAGAGUGCGGUAGGGGAGAUCGGAAUUCCUGGUGUAGCGGUGAAAUGCGCAGAAUAUCAGGAGGAACACCGGUGGCGAAGGCGGAUCUCUGGGCCGUAACUGACGCUGGAGGAGCG
rnacentral:rRNA from 1 species